ensembl:lncRNA
UAUGACGUAUCCCCUGCUCUGCGCAGAUUGGUGAACUGAGCAGCCCUGAGCAGAGCUGGGCGCUGCCGGGGGCCCCAGGCGGGCGGGGCAGUGGGUCACAGUGGGGCCCAUUGUGACGCGUCUCCGUGCCCCUGAGGUGCAGCCGUGCCGGCGCUGUGCCCCACACUUUCUGUCAGGACUCCGCUGGGUCAGGACAGGAGCAGGCCGACGCCGCCCGCCGCCCCUCAGAGCAAAUCGCAGCGUUUCCCUCCAGGGCUGGAGGGAACCUCGGCCGCCUGGGCCCUGCCCCCUCCCCAGCCUCAGCCCUCCUCCUCUGCGAUGGCGGAGAGAGCCGCCCCCUGCCCCUCGGAGGCCGAGGAGAAGCACGCGGUCCUCCUGGGGCCCGCUGCUGCGUCGCGCGGUGAGCGAGGGUCCCCGCAGGGCCGGGGGGGAGCGCCUUCUGCUGGGGGCUGCCUCUGGGGCUGCGCAGGGCGGCCAAGGGCAGAGCCCCUCCUCUUCUCGCUCUGCUCUGGGCUCCUCUGCCCGAACCCUGAGCCCAAACCCGAACCCUAACCCCAGCCUUAAUUCCAACCCCGGCCCUAACGCUGGCUGUAACCCCAACCCCAACCUCGAUCCUAACCCUAACCCCAACCUGAAACCCACCUGGAAUUCUGACUCUAACCCCAGCUCUGACCCCACCCCACCCCCUACCCCCACUUCCCUGCUCAGACACUUCCAAGCCAGCCGUGUACUCCUAUGAGCCUGAUGCAGUGGACACCAUUGAGGCCUUUGUCCGGAGCACAGUGAAGGACAAGGAGCAGAAGAUGAAAUUCCUGCAGAGCAUCUGCACCGUCUGCGACACAGCGGUGAAGAAGGACAUGGAGCAGGAUCUGCGCACCUUCUGCUGCCGGAAUGAACUGGCUGAGAAGAUCAUGGAGCUGCUGGCAGAGGAGCACGGAAAGCUACGCUUGGAACUGUGGCAGCUCGCCAUGGCCGCCAUCACUGCCCUCAGCACGGUGAAGGCGGCGUUGGAGGAGAGGCUCCCUCUCUUUGUUGUGUGCUUCUGCAGCAUCCUCCUGCUUCCCUUGGAGCAGGAUGUGAACACCAGCCUUUACUCCAAGGCCGUGGAGCCUCUGGACCGGAUGCUGGACACACUGGUGUUCGUCCACCCCACGGCCAGCAUUGGCCACCAGCUGCACAGAGUCUUUCAGGUUCUGCUGACUUUCACCUGCUCGCUGAGCGUGGCUGUGCGCCAGAGGGCAGUAGGGUGGAUCUGGAAGAUGAGCGAUUCGUUAGCGCACUUCUGCCAGGGCAGGCCCCAUCGCUCCUUGGGACGAACCUGUUCGGUCAGCUACAAAGACCUUCACAUGCCUGUGCUGGGGGAGCUAGUGGGAAGCCUCAUCCUGUGCUGCGCCUACCCGGAGGACAGGACGCACUUUUUUGCUUUGCACGCUCUCCGUCAGCUCUACAUAUUUAUCCUGUGGAGAACCCGCCAGGAAGCACUGUCGGAGGAGCAGGACAAACUCAAGCAGUGGGAAGCUGACCGCAGGUUCUCCCGCUCUUGGACCACCGACCCCAUGAUCAUUUUGGUGGUGAGGAGAGCUCGCCACGCUGGCACUCUUGGC